rnacentral:rRNA from 1 species
GCGUUGUCCGGAUUUACUGGGCGUAAAGGGAGCGUAGGUGGAUAUUUAAGUGGGAUGUGAAAUACUCGGGCUUAACCUGGGUGCUGCAUUCCAAACUGGAUAUCUAGAGUGCAGGAGAGGAAAGUAGAAUUCCUAGUGUAGCGGUGAAAUGCGUAGAGAUUAGGAAGAAUACCAGUGGCGAAGGCGACUUUCUGGACUGUAACUGACACUGAGGCUCGAAAGCGUG